rnacentral:misc_RNA from 1 species
UCCAGUUUAUCACCGGCAGUCUCCCUAGAGUGCCCAGCAUUACCUGAUGGCAACUAAGGACAAAGGUUGCGCUCGUUGCGGGACUUAACCCAACAUCUCACGACACGAGCUGACGACAGCCAUGCAGCACCUGUGCAGGGACUCCGUAGAGGGGUCCUGGUUUCUCAAGACUUUCCCCUGCAUGUCAAGCCCAGGUAAGGUUCUUCGCGUUGCGUCGAAUUAAACCACAUGCUCCACCGCUUGUGCGGGCCCCCGUCAAUUCCUUUGAGUUUCAGUCUUGCGACCGUACUCCCCAGGCGGAAUACUUAACGCGUUAGCUGCGGCUCUGGACCGUUGACGGGCCCAAAACCUAGUAUUCAUCGUUUAUGGCAUGGACUAC